AUUGAACGCUGGCGGCAGGCCUAACUCAUGCAAGUCGAGCGAGCGGUGGACGGGUGAGUAAUGUCUGGGAAACUGCAUGAUGGAGGGGGAUAACUACUGGAAACGGUAGCUAAUACAGCAUACCAUCAGAUGGGCCCAGAUGGGAUUAGCUAGGAGGUGGGGUAACGGCUCACCUAGGCGACGAGCCCUCGCUGGUCUGAGAGGGUGACCAGCCCCACUUGAACUGAGACACGGUCCAGACUCCUACGGGAGGCAGCAGUGGGGAAUAUUGCACAAUGGGCGCAAGCCUGAUGCAGCCAUGCCGCGUGUGUGAAGAAGGCCUUCGGGUUGUAAAGCACUUUCAGCGGGGAGGCGUUACCCGCAGAAGAAGCACCGGCUAACUCCGUGCCAGCAGCCGCGGUAAUUC
rnacentral:rRNA from 1 species